rnacentral:misc_RNA from 1 species
AACGCACCUUGCGCUCCUUGGUAUUCCUUGGAGCAUGCCUGUUUGAGUAUCAUGAAAUCUUCAAAGUAAAUCUUUUGUUAAUUCAAUUGGUUCUACUUUGGUCUUGGAGGUUAUUGCAGCUUCACACCUGCUCCUCUUUGUUCAUUAGCUGGAUCUCAGUGUUAUGCUUGGUUCCACUCAGCGUGAUAAGUAUCUAUCGCUGAGGACACUGUAACAAGUGGCCAAGGGAAAUGCAGAUGAGCCGCUUCUAAUCGUCCAUUUAUUUGGACAACAUUUUUAUGAUCUGAUCUCAAAUCAGGUAGGACUACCCGCUGAACUUAA